AUUGCAGUACUUCCAGGAACGGU
rnacentral:piRNA from 1 species